GGCCUCUUUUCCUUUAUGCUGCUCCCCUCCACAGUCGUGUGACUGCUAUUGUGUGGUCCCUGCCACACAAAAGCUAGCCUGACCUAAUUUAAAUCAGUGCUGUUGAAGCCGUUCUUGUUUUAUCUCCCAGCACAAGGGCUGUGCUCCCCAUUUCAGAGGGAGCAGAAAUGAAUGGCUAAUUGGGGGGGUAUUGUGCAAGGCAGCGUUGUCUCCCAGCCCUGAUUGUCAGCUCUCCUGCUCGGCAGUGCUCCGAGCUCCGCUCUCCUGGAACAGCCAUGUAGGCUGCUUCGGGAGCAGAGGGAGGGAAAGGGGAGAUGGGACUCCACAGCCAUCGCAGCGUGUCAGGCAAACAAAGCCCAGCAUGGCCGCCUCCAGCGCGCUGCUGAAAGGACUGGCAGGGGGAGGGUUCCCUGCUUCAGAAAGGGCAGAUAAUAGUAGAGAAGAUCCAUCUUCCACCUCCAAAUAAGCCCCCUGCUUUCUUUUCCUUGGGGGUUUAUGUGACAGUCCUUCCUAGCGCUCUAAAGACUGUCAGUGAGGAGGGGGGGUGAGGUGGGAAGAGCUCUCACAGCGAGCAGCACCGCAGGGGUUGUAAGUGGGAUAGGUCAGGGGCUGGAGACUAAAUGCUGCCAGUCUCUUUGUCCUGUAGGGCAAAGUUUGAGUGGCCACUAUCAACGGAUCUUCAUAAGAAAAGCAAGAACAUCCCCAGGAGGCAUUUCAGCAAGAUGCAGCCAGCACCCAGAGGGAGCUUUGUGACCUCAGAGUUGCCCAUAGGAGGAGGAUCUAGAGUCCGCAACCCAUCCACACGGUACCUUCCAAGAGCUUCCUGCCUGGGGCUGUCUGAUCUGCAGCUCUCCUUUCUCCAUGGAUCACCAGACUGAAAGGGGCCUGUGGAGGAAAACAAAACGAGAAGCCUUUGAGUCUUUCCAUUGAUGGUUUUGGGUCACUUACAGAUCCACUUCCUCCUGCUCAAGGGAGAGGACUUUGCUCGCUGCUAUCGAUUAGGUUUGCCCCCAGCGCGCUCCCCUGACGCACAGUGCAAAGGUUGCUGCCAGAGUCCUCCCCUGCAGGCUCUGCCAGCUGCAGGCAAGAGGAGCCCAGCACAGGGUGUUCAACAGCAGCGUGAAGCAAACAAGUCCCAAGGCUGCAGGUUUGUCAUGGACUUUAAUGUCAUGUUCUAAUGUCAUUGCAAGUCAGAUCAGGAUAAAUUACUGGAGUUAAAGGACAUGGUACAACCUCCUCUCGAUCCCUUUUAGCCCCAAAUGAACAGAUCAGCUACAAAACUGUAAAAUUAAAAGUAGAUUUUGUUAAAAGUAA